GAUGAAGAACGCAGCGAAAUGCGAUACUUGGUGUGAAUUGCAGAAUCCCGUGAACCAUCGAGUCUUUGAACGCAAGUUGCGCCUCAAGCCAUUAGGUUGAGGGCACGUCUGCCUGGGCGUCACAUAUCGUUGCCUGAUGCCAGUUUCCUCGUGAUGGGUGACUGUGCAGGGCGAAUGAUGGCUUCCCGUGAGCAUUGUUGCCUCAUGGUUGGUUGAAAAUUGAGUCCUUGGUAGGGAGCGCCGUGAUAGAUGGUGGUUGAGUGACGAACGAGACCCAAUCAUGUGAGACCCCUACCGAAUUUGGCCUUCAUGACCCACAUGCGUCUUGGGAACGCUCAUGACGAGACCUCAGGUCAGGCGGGGCUACCCGCUGAGUUUAAGCAUAUCAAUAAGCGGAGGA
rnacentral:misc_RNA from 1 species